rnacentral:misc_RNA from 1 species
AUUCGGUGGAAACCAAAUUAUAUUAUUAGUGGGAUUCAUUAUCCAACUUUAAGUUGGACAGUGUUGGCCUAUAAAUAGGCAUGUGAUGGCCAAUGUUAAGAUGUGUAGAUUGUGGCACAUUCCAUUAAGAAGAGCAAGCGAGUUACUAGGAGAAGACCAUGAAAAUUUGAGUUGAAUGCACCAUGAGUUGUUCUAUUUUUAAAGAGAUUUGAGUGCUUGAUUUGUGAGUGUUUGAGGGUUAGAAAAAUAAUUAGUGGUUGUAAUAAUUUUUCCUUUAACAGUGAAUUUGUUAGUAGAGUAAGCUUACGUUGAACCACGUUAAAUUGUGUUCUUUAAUUUUUUAUGGGUGUGAAUUUUCCCAACAAGUGGUAUCAGAGCUAUGGUUCCAGAUGGCAAAGAUGGCAAGCACAAAAUUUGAUGUGGAAUCAUUUAAUGUAAAAAAUAAUUUCAGUUUAUACUAAAGUACUGUGAAGAAUGUCCUUGUGCAACAAGGAUUAA